GACGAACGCUGGCGGCGUGCUUAACACAUGCAAGUCGAACGAUGAAGGAGAGCUUGCUCUCCGGAUUAGUGGCGAACGGGUGAGUAACGCGUGACUAACCUGCCCCUUUCUCUGGGAUAACGCUCCGAAAGGAGUGCUAAUACCGGAUACGAACUCUGAACACAUGUUCGGAGUUGGAAAGUUUUUCGGAAAGGGAUGGAGUCGCGGCCUAUCAGCUUGUUGGUGAGGUAACGGCUCACCAAGGCGACGACGGGUAGCCGGCCUGAGAGGGCGACCGGCCACACUGGGACUGGGACACGGCCCAGACUCCUACGGGAGGCAGCAGUGGGGAAUAUUGCACAAUGGGCGAAAGCCUGAUGCAGCGACGCCGGGUGAGGGAUGAAGGUCUUCGGAUUGUAAACCUCUUUCAGUAGGGACGAAGCGAAAGUGACGGUACCUAAAGAAGAAGCACCGGCUAACUACGUGCCAGCCGCCGCUGUAA
rnacentral:rRNA from 1 species